AAAAAAAUGGAAACAGAAAUUAUUUAAAAAGAAAAAACCCUACACCAUCUGCUACUAUUUUUUUGUUAAUUCAAAGUGUAAGAUCAGUUAGUUAUGUAAGGAUUUUUCAUAACAAUCGGAAGUGCAAAGAAAAAAUGGUAGCCUCGACAGCCAUUGUACACUUGUAUUCAAAUGACAUACUGAGCACGUGUAUACAGUUACACAACCUGCCCUUUAUAAAACCAGUCCCACAGGUGUAGUAUCUGUGUUAUUCAGUCCUCAGAGUGUUACGGUAACUUCCCUCUCUCUUCAACGCUUGGUUUCAGGCGUAGCUGCUCACAAUGGGAGGUCACAGCGUUGCCCGUUUAGCACUCAUAGUCCUUUCUGUUGUCAUUUUCAUCAUCUGCAUCAUAUUCAACGCACUUGCUGGACCGGGAACUGGUCCUUUUCGGAACAACACUGGAGCGAUAUCAGAUAAAUACAAUACAGAAAUCACUCCCUCGGGAUGGACCUUCUCAAUCUGGGGUGUCAUCUACACUUGGCUGUCACUCAUGCAUGUUUACAUCCUCACCACUACCUGCAGGAGGGUGAUGAUUGCUGCAUUCAUUAUCCUUGCCUUGAUUGCCUUCACAAACUAUUUGCUUAUAAUCUUCUCCUGUCAUGGACUCAAACAAUAUGGAGCCUGGUUAAACAAAUAUCACAAAGUAGACCUCUGGUGCAUACGGAUAUUGGUUCAGAAUGGCAUUGCAACAUACACAACAUGGACAACAAUUGCCACUCUGAUUAACUUCACUGUUGUGCUGAGAUAUGAUGCUGGAAUGACCCAGUCAGAUGCAGCAACAGUCUCUCUCUCUAUUCUUUUGGGUGAAGCUAUUUCUUGGUUCAUUGUUGAGAACUUUGUGUUUGAAAAGCACCUGCGAUACAUUCUGACAGUCUACCCUGUUGUUAUUGUGGCCUUGAGUGGAAACAUGACCAAGAACUUUAAAUCUGCAGAUCCAAGCCGCAGCGGCAUUUACAUAGCUGUUUUACUGGGGUUGACUUGUACACUAUUUGCGAUCAAAGUGUUGCUGGUUAUAUGGAGGCACAUUAAACAUCCUCUCUACAAAGGCAUGAAUGUAGAGGAGGAGAUAUCACCAAUGGAAAUUGCUGAAAAGCAGAAGAAGAUCUUCACUUAAACGGAAUAAUGUUUGUAUCAUUCGAUUUUAUAUUUGUCAUGCUAUUUAUUUAUUAUAGCAUUAUAAUCAAUGCUAUUUAUUUUUAUAAUUGUUCAAAUGUGUAAAUAUGUAAUUUUGAUAAAUGAUGAAGUAAAAACUAAAAUGCAAAGCUUGUGUAAAUGAGUUACACACAUUUAAUUGCUCUUAUCAGGGCAGGGGGUGUCUUAGAGUAUCUUUACAGUGACCAUGAUCUGUGCACUGUUAUGUACCAUUUUUCUCCAGCAAUAAAAUCAUAAAACUCACUAGGGUUUAAAGUUUUUGUAAAGUUUUAGAUGGGAAGUCAAGAGGUUGUUGGCUCAAUCCCAACAAGUGGUGACUGAAAAUAGAAUCAUGAUCACAAU
rnacentral:lncRNA from 1 species